GACGAACGCUGGCGGCGUGCUUAACACAUGCAAGUCGAACGGAAAGGCCCUGCUUUUGUGGGGUGCUCGAGUGGCGAACGGGUGAGUAACACGUGAGUAACCUGCCCUUGACUUUGGGAUAACUUCAGGAAACUGGGGCUAAUACCGGAUAGGAGCUCCUGCUGCAUGGUGGGGGUUGGAAAGUUUCGGCGGUUGGGGAUGGACUCGCGGCUUAUCAGCUUGUUGGUGGGGUAGUGGCUUACCAAGGCUUUGGCGGGUAGCCGGCCUGAGAGGGUGACCGGCCACAUUGGGACUGAGAUACGGCCCAGACUCCUACGGGAGGCAGCAGUGGGGAAUAUUGCACAAUGGGCGGAAGCCUGAUGCAGCAACGCCGUGUGCGGGAUGACGGCCUUCGGGUUGUAAACCGCUUUCGCCUGUGACGAAGCGUGAGUGACGGUAAUGGGUAAAGAAGCACCGGCUAACUACGUG
rnacentral:rRNA from 1 species